AUCUUCUGUAGGGGUACCUGCGGAGGGAUCAUUACCGAGUUUACAACUCCCAAACCCCUGUGAACAUACCAAUUGUUGCCUCGGCGGAUCAGCCCGCUCCCGGUAAAACGGGACGGCCCGCCAGAGGACCCCUAAACUCUGUUUCUAUAUGUAACUUCUGAGUAAAACCAUAAAUAAAUCAAAACUUUCAACAACGGAUCUCUUGGUUCUGGCAUCGAUGAAGAACGCAGCAAAAUGCGAUAAGUAAUGUGAAUUGCAGAAUUCAGUGAAUCAUCGAAUCUUUGAACGCACAUUGCGCCCGCCAGUAUUCUGGCGGGCAUGCCUGUUCGAGCGUCAUUUCAACCCUCAAGCCCCCGGGUUUGGUGUUGGGGAUCGGCGAGCCCUUGCGGCAAGCCGGCCCCGAAAUCUAGUGGCGGUCUCGCUGCAGCUUCCAUUGCGUAGUAGUAAAACCCUCGCAACUGGUACGCGGCGCGGCCAAGCCGUUAAACCCCCAACUUCUGAAUGUUGACCUCGGAUCAGGUAGGAAUACCCGCUGAACUUAAGCAUAUCAUAGCGCCGGAGGAAGC
rnacentral:rRNA from 1 species